rnacentral:rRNA from 1 species
UACGUAGGGGGCAAGCGUUGUCCGGAUUUAUUGGGCGUAAAGAGCGUAUAGGCGGCCUGAAAGGUCAGCUGUGAAACAUCGAGGCUCAACCUCGAGACGUCGGUUGAAACCAUCUGACUAGAGUCCGGAAGAGGAGAGUGGAAUUCCGGGUGUAGUGGUGAAAUGCGUAGAGAUCCGGAGGAACACCAGUGGCGAAGGCGGCUCGCUGGGCUCUACCUGACGCUGAGGCGCGAAAGCGUGGGGAGCGAACCGGG